AUUGAACGCUGGCGGCAUGCCUUACACAUGCAAGUCGAACGGCAGCACGGGAGCAAUCCUGGUGGCGAGUGGCGAACGGGUGAGUAAUAUAUCGGAACGUGCCCAGUCGUGGGGGAUAACGCAGCGAAAGCUGUGCUAAUACCGCAUACGAUCUACGGAUGAAAGCGGGGGAUCGCAAGACCUCGCGCGAUUGGAGCGGCCGAUAUCAGAUUAGCUAGUUGGUGGGGUCGAGGCCCACCAAGGCGACGAUCUGUAGCUGGUCUGAGAGGACGACCAGCCACACUGGAACUGAGACACGGUCCAGACUCCUACGGGAGGCAGCAGUGGGGGAUUUUGGACAAUGGGCGCAAGCCUGAUCCAGCAAUGCCGCGUGCAGGAUGAAGGCCUUCGGGUUGUAAACUGCUUUUGUACGGAACGAAACGGUCCUUUCUAAUACAAGGGGCUAAUGACGGUACCGUAAGAAUAAGCACCGGCUAACUACGUGCCAGCAGCCGCCGUAA
rnacentral:rRNA from 1 species